GGGGUCGAGCCAUGAAGACGACGAGCGUCGAGUUCAGGAGCGAGUCCUUGAGAUUGUCGAGGGUCCACAAGAGCGCGUGGUGGCUGCACUCGCUCUCGUCGAUCGCCACCAUCACCUUCCUCUUGUCCACGCCAUUGGUGGCCAAUACCUCCGCCAUAUCUCUAGGGGUCGAAAGAAAGACGGUACCUCAGUGGUUUUGGAGGUUCUCCAGAGCUGGAGCAAUUGCUUCCGUCAAGGUGGUUCGGAAACGGGAGGCGGUUUUCUCUUUUUCGCCUCGAAGGUCAAAACGACCAGUCAAAGCCUCGGAGUUUCGCCGCUGAAUGCAGAACUAGAGUCAAAAUGGCGGAUAAGCCUCUCCCACCCCCCUAGCGUUUCGCUUACUUCUCUUCUCCAUUAUUUCCUAUCCUUUAGUUUGCUCUUGCCACGUGGGUUGUCUGCAGAAACGCCACGAGCACGUUCUUCUCCAGCGGGAAAACUUUGGAGGGAAGGCGAAGGAAUCUGAAGAGGAAAAAUCCAUGGAAGGGUGGGGAAAAUGGUAAUUUGGAUCCUUCAGGUUCGUCUCCCACAUGGGUAUGCCCCAUCAAAGUUGUCUUUGUGUCGCUCUGGACACUUGAACUUGGUAAGAUCGUGAUCGAUAUGAUUGAGAUAUGGUAGGGACACUUCUGGUAGCGCACGCAAUGGGCUAUAACUAAUGCCGAUAAUUUACUUUGAAAGCGAUCGGAUCCCCACAACAAAAGCGAAAGAACCGGUAGUGGCCAUGAGGAUUUUGAGAUGAAAUUGACGUAGAUCGCGAGUAGGGUACGUGGUGAGCCGAAACAAAGUGAAACUUUGGGGCUAAUGUGAAGCAGGGUGCCAGUUUUCAGGAGAGAGACAGAGCCGUCCUCCUUCAGUUAUGCGUCAUAUGUUCUUCUGCCCCACUUGACGGGUACCAAGUCAACAUUCACCGUGGAUACAUUCAGACUGUGUUGACAGCGAACCGGGGUCGAUUCUCCUUCUAUUAGAAGGAGCGAUGUCGAAAGUUAGGAAUGCGACAUUUGUCCGUAUCUGUCUCCAAUUCUCUGCGUUAAGUAAUCAAAUUCAACACUAUCCAAAGAUAUCGCACAGUCGGCAAGUGAUAUUUACUGUCCUUGUUUUGUAUAUCUAGUCUAGUUGUCGAGUGAUUGAUAAGCUAGCCUUUGUCUGUGUCGACAUCUGAUGAAAUAUGUCAUCGCUAUGAAUUUGAAGUUUCAGUAAGAUUCUAAUGGCAUCGACAAAUCUCAC